AUUGAACGCUGGCGGCAGGCCUAACACAUGCAAGUCGAGCGGAUGAAGGGAGCUUGCUCCUGGAUUCAGCUGCGGACGGGUGAGUAAUGCCUAGGAAUCUGCCUGGUAGUGGGGGAUAACGUCCGGAAACGGGCGCUAAUACCGCAUACGUCCUGAGGGAGAAAGAGGGGGAUCUUCGGACCUCACGCUAUCAGAUGAGCCUAGGUCGGAUUAGCUAGUUGGUGGGGUAAAGGCCUACCAAGGCGACGAUCCGUAACUGGUCUGAGAGGAUGAUCAGUCACACUGGAACUGAGACACGGUCCAGACUCCUACGGGAGGCAGCAGUGGGGAAUAUUGGACAAUGGGCGAAAGCCUGAUCCAGCCAUGCCGCGUGUGUGAAGAAGGUCUUCGGAUUGUAAAGCACUUUAAGUUGGGAGGAAGGGCAGUAAGUUAAUACCUUGCUGUUUUGACGUUACCAACAGAAUAAGCACCGGCUAACUUCGUG
rnacentral:rRNA from 1 species